rnacentral:rRNA from 2 species
CACAGCGGCCACAGCGGCGGGGCAACUCCCGGUCUCAUUCCGAACCCGGCAGAUAAGCCCGCCAGCGUUCCCUACGGUACUGAGUUGCGCGAGCACUUGGGAACUGGGGAUCGCUGCUGUGC